rnacentral:rRNA from 1 species
AUGAGAGGGGAGAUGUCUCCCCGCCGCUGCCGCCGCCGCACCGCUCCGCCGUCUCCGCCGCCUGCUUCUCUGCCAGACGCCGACGACCUGCUCCGGGAAAUUCUCCUCCGCCUCCCCCCGCGGCCUUCCUCCCUCCCCCGGGCCUCCCUCGUCUGCAAGCGUUGGCGCAGCAUCGUCUCCGACCCCCAAUUCCAACGCCUCUUCCGCGCCCACCACGGCAAGCCUCCUCUCCUUGGUUUCUUCCUCGAUGGGAGUCUCUCCUCUCCCUUUUUUCCAAUGCUGGAUCGACCAGAUCGCAUCCCCAGCGCUCGCUUCUCCAUGCUUCUAUACGAGAGAAACCGCAUCAUCGACUGCCGCCACGGCCUUGUCCUUUUCCUCUGCCCAGGGCCGCCGCGCCGCUUACUUGUGUGGGACCCCGUCUCCCGCGAGCAGCGCCACCUCAUCUCCCCACCAGAGCUGGACAGCGACCAGUUGUUCAUCUUCAACGGGGCGGUGCUGCGCCCUGCCGGCGGCCAAGGCUGCAGUUCAAGCCAUUUCCAGGUGGCCCUUGUAGCCCGUGACGGAGCAUGUACGAGAGUUUCCAUAUGCGUUUACUCAUCGGAGACUGGGAUAUGGAGCAACGUCAAAUCACUGCAGAUGAAAUUGAGUAUACCUAUCGAAAGAGCCAGUACUUCGAUUGGGAACUCCCUUUGCUGGUUACUUCCGGUGCAUGAUCAAAAUGUCAUACUUGAGUUUGAUCUGGUUAAGCAGACCCUAGCUGUGACAGAGCUGCCAGUACCUGUGGAACCUGACUAUCAAAAUUUAUGGAUUAUCCCAGCCGAAGAUGGUGGGCUUGGCUUCAUCCAUCUCUCACAAUUUCAUGCCGAAUUAUGGAAGAGAAUGCCUGAUUCUGAUGGUUUGGAUGCAUGGGUGCUCGAUAGAGCUAUUGAGUUUGAGGAGCUCAAACCAACUUGCAAGGGAUACUCACCCGCUUUAGUGGGGUUUGCCGAGGAGAGUAAUGCAAUCCUUGUACAGACAGAUUCUGGUGUCUUCAUGGUCUAUCUCCAGUCAACGGAGUUUAAGAAAGUUUCUGAUCUGAGUGUCUUCUGUAUCCAUUAUCCAUUUGCAUGUUUCUAUCCUGCAGGCACUGGCAUUGGUGAUGUACAUGGUGGAGAUGAAGUGUUGAACAAUAUGUGA